rnacentral:rRNA from 1 species
GAUGAACGCUGGCGGCGUGCCUAAUACAUGCAAGUCGAGCGAACAGACGAGGAGCUUGCUCCUCUGACGUUAGCGGCGGACGGGUGAGUAACACGUGGAUAACCUACCUAUAAGACUGGGAUAACUUCGGGAAACCGGAGCUAAUACCGGAUAAUAUAUUGAACCGCAUGGUUCAAUAGUGAAAGACGGUUUUGCUGUCACUUAUAGAUGGAUCCGCGCCGCAUUAGCUAGUUGGUAAGGUAACGGCUUACCAAGGCAACGAUGCGUAGCCGACCUGAGAGGGUGAUCGGCCACACUGGAACUGAGACACGGUCCAGACUCCUACGGGAGGCAGCAGUAGGGAAUCUUCCGCAAUGGGCGAAAGCCUGACGGAGCAACGCCGCGUGAGUGAUGAAGGUCUUCGGAUCGUAAAACUCUGUUAUUAGGGAAAAACAAAUGUGUAAGUAACUAUGCACGGCUUGACGGUACCUAAUCAGGAAGCCACGGCUAACUACGUG